GCGUCUGAUUAGCUAGUUGGUAGGGUAAGGCCUACCAAGGCGACGAUCAGUAGGGGUUCUGAGAGGAUUAACCCCCACACUGGUACUGAGACACGGACCAGACUCCUACGGGAGGCAGCAGUGAGGAAUAUUGGUCAAUGGGCGCAAGCCUGAACCAGCCAUCCCGCGUGAAGGAAGAAGGCCCUACGGGUUGUAAACUUCUUUUCUGUUUGAAGAAUAAGCUCGUCGAGACGAGUGAUGCCGGUAGGACAGGAAUAAGCAUCGGCUAACUCCGUGCCAGCAGCCGCGGUAAUACGGAGGAUGCAAGCGUUAUCCGGAUUUAUUGGGUUUAAAGGGUGCGCAGGUGGUUUAAUAAGUCAGUGGUGAAAGUCUGGCGCUUAACGUUAGGAUUGCCAUUGAUACUGUUAGACUUGAAUAUGGAUGAGGUAGGCGGAAUGUGUAGUGUAGCGGUGAAAUGCUUAGAUAUUACACAGAACACCGAUUGCGAAGGCAGCUUACUAAUCCAUCAUUGACGCUGAGGCACGAAAGCGUGGGGAUCAAACAGGAUUAGAUACCCUGGUAGUCCACGCUGUAAACGAUGAUCACUCGCUGUUUGCGAUAUACAGUAAGCGGCUAAGCGAAAGCGUUAA
rnacentral:rRNA from 1 species